AGGGCGCGAGCGUUGUCCGGAAUUAUUGGGCGUAAAGGGCUUGUAGGCGGUUGGUUGCGUUUGCCGUGAAAUACUCUGGCUUAACUGGGGGCGUGCGGUGGGUACGGGCUGGCUUGAGUGCGGUAGGGGAGACUGGAAUUCCUGGUGUAGCGGUGGAAUGCGCAGAAAUCAGGGGGAAAACCGGUGGCGAAGGCGGGUCUCUGGGCCGUUACUGAUGCUGAGGAGCGAAAGCGUGGGGAGCGAA
rnacentral:rRNA from 1 species